GCUCACUAACACACACACAUGAUCCCUACAAACAAUCUCACAGACACACAUACAAGCUCACUCACUAGCAGGCACACACAGAAGCUCACUCACAUGCACACACACAGAGGCAGACAUCCACACACACAGGCACAGUCAGAUAGCCACACACACACACACAGGCAGGCAGUCACACACGCUGACCUGCUUCUUAGCUCCACAUCCCUUGAAGCUCC